ACAAAAAGAUUUGAAAAGCCCAAGACUAAAGUACUUGGACUGAAGUCAUAUAUAAGGCUUAGUUCAAAGCAUAACUUCCUCUUCGCUGCAACAAAAAUCCCAAUUCCAUAGCGAUUGUGAGCUCUUGUUUGUUUCAGCACUCGAUCGUUCCGUUUCAGGAUGAAGAUAGAGGUUCCAAGGAAGACAUCAGGACAGGGAUCCGAUCAAGCAGGGUCUCAGAUGCCUGUGCCGAACCAAAUGAAUGGGAAUGCACUCCCUUUGAUGGCAAAUGCAACCAUGGACCCUGAACUCCUCGAAAUACGCUCACUUAUUCUAGAGAAGAUCCAUAGUACGUUGUUGGAACGUUGUCCGCGUCCAAUUUCAGAAGAAAAGAGGAGGAUGCUUAAGAAUCUUGCAAUACGCCUGGAAGCGGGCCUGGUUAAAGAUGCUUCCUCUAGGGCGGAGUACGUGAACUUGGAUACAGUGGAGAGUCGUUUAACUGAUUUAAUCAGAAGAGCAUCUCAGAAUGAUCGCUACCAACAAUAUCGGCAGCUUGUUAGCUCAAUCGGUGCAAUGACAAUAUGAUACCAACCCCUGAAACCUUGGAAGCUACAAUGAUUGAAAUUUGCUUGUAGCUUUAAUAUUAAGGGAUUGCAUGCACUUGAAAGAGGUGGAAGUUGCCAGGUUGCUGAAGCAAUUCUUGCAGGCGAUUUCAAACCGCUCCUACAUCUUGUGGGUUGAAAUAUAUUACAUAGUAAAAAAGCUUAAAUAUGUGUAUGUCCCUGCCUCAUCUAGAGGACAAUCCCUGCCACUAAUAUUUUAUGCAGAUACUUGGAGGAUGGUCCAACCAAAUGAUGGUACAAUGUGGGAACCGGUUAGACUAUUGUUUCAUGUUAUAAUAGAGGUGUUUUCCAAUGAUAACCAAUCCAAUGAUGUUCUCUUGCUUGCCAAGAAAUAAUAUGGAGUCAUAUUUCUCUAAAAGAACAAAGAAAUAAGUCUAUUUUAUCUUGGUGUUUUCAGUUGCUCUCAGUAGACCUUUAUUUCUUUGCUUUAGGUGAUUCUGCAGCUGUCCUGAAAUAUGAUCUUCUUUAUUAGUAAGCUACAAGACUCAGUUACUGAUGGGGUCCUCUUCAUGAGAGUUGCUAUUCAGGGAGUUUUGGGCUGAAAUCAGGAUUGUGUUGUAAUUUAGCAUCCAGCUCUUGAUCAAGCAAAUUGAAAUACAUCAAUGAAUGAAACUCGGCCUAUGCAGGACCAAUUCGGUAAGGAUACUGCUAUAGAAUUGGCAAAGAGAAGGGAAUAGAGAGGCAAAGACAAGAUAAGCUUGCUCAAACAUGUAGAUGGGACACAUACAGUCUUGAAACAUAAAAGUUAUUCUUAGUUAGCUAUUCGUAGACAGUUUGUAUCCAAUUGUAUAAUUAUACUGUAAUUAGGAUUUAAUAUUAAUUAUGUGUAUGGUAUAAUUGUACUUCUUUGAAAACAUGGAAGAAUAAUUAUUUUAAUUUUAUUUAGAAGGUAAUGAAUGAUUUUAUUUUU